rnacentral:rRNA from 1 species
AUUGAACGCUGGCGGCAGGCCUAACACAUGCAAGUCGAACGCGUGGCGGACGCGUGAGUAAUAUCUGGGGAACUGCGCGAUGGAGGGGGGUAACUACUGGAAAAGGGAGCUCAUACCGCAUAUCAUCGGAUGUGCCCCGAUGGGGGUAGCUAGUAGGUGGGGGAACGGCGCACCUAGGCGACGAGCCCUAGCUGGUCUGAGAGGAUGACCAGCCACACUGGAACUGAGACACGGUCCAGACUCCUACGGGAGGCAGCAGUGGGGAAUAUUGCACAAUGGGCGCAAGCCUGAUGCAGCCAUGCCGCGUGUAUGAAGAAGGCCUUCGGGUUGUAAAGUACUUUCAGCGAGGAGGCGUUACCCGCAGAAGAAGCACCGGCUAACUCCGUGCCAGCAGCCGCGGUAAUAC